UUCCGGCCGCUGCGGGGCGGCCCCGGGCGCGCGGCAGAACCGGCCUUCCAUUCUCCUGUUAAAGAAGCAUCCCCCACGGCUCCCUCUAUCUGUGCGACUGGCCAGCAGGAGGCGGUGAUAACUUUCUAUCCACUUAUCAGACACUGUGAGGAGCAAAUCCAGCCAUGGGGGAGCAAACUACCCAGGAAUG